UACGGGGGGGGCAAGCGUUGUUCGGAAUUACUGGGCGUAAAGGGCUUGUAGGUGGCCAACUAAGUCAGACGUGAAAUCCCUCGGCUUAACCUGGGAACUGCGUCUGAUACUGGAUGGCUUGAAUCCGGGAGAGGGAUGCAGAAUUCCAGGUGUAGCGGUGAAAUGCGUAGAUAUCUGGAGGAACACCGGUGGCGAAGGCGGCAUCCUGGACCGGCAUUGACGCUGAGGCGCGAAAGCCAGGGGAGCAAACGGG
rnacentral:rRNA from 1 species